rnacentral:rRNA from 1 species
UACGAAGGGGGCGAGCGUUGUUCGGAAUUACUGGGCGUAAAGGGCGCGUAGGCGGCCUUCUAAGUCGAACGUGAAAUCCCCGGGCUCAACCCGGGAACUGCGUCCGAUACUGGAAGGCUUGAAUCCGGGAGAGGGAUGCGGAAUUCCAGGUGUAGCGGUGAAAUGCGUAGAUAUCUGGAGGAACACCGGUGGCGAAGGCGGCAUCCUGGACCGGUAUUGACGCUGAGGCGCGAAAGCCAGGGGAGCAAACGGG